GGAAUAUUGCACAAUGGGGGAAACCCUGAUGCAGCCAUGCCGCGUGUGUGAAGAAGGCCUUCGGGUUGUAAAGCACUUUCAGUGAGGAGGAAAACCUUGCGACUAAUACUCGUAAGGCUUGACGUCACUCACAGAAGAAGCACCGGCUAACUCCGUGCCAGCCGCCGCGGUAAUACGGAGGGUGCAAGCGUUAAUCGGAAUUACUGGGCGUAAAGCGCGCGUAGGUGGUUUGAUAAGCGAGAUGUGAAAGCCCCGGGCUCAACCUGGGAACGGCAUUUCGAACUGUCAGGCUAGAGUAUGGUAGAGGAGUGUGGAAUUCCCUGUGUAGCGGUGAAAUGCGUAGAUAUAGGAAGGAACACCAGUGGCGAAGGCGGCACUCUGGACCAAUACUGACACUGAGGUGCGAAAGCGUGGGGAGCA
rnacentral:rRNA from 1 species